rfam:Ovis aries breed Texel chromosome 1, whole genome shotgun sequence.
UCCCUCGUGGCUCAAAUGUUAGAGCAUCUGCCUCCAACGUGGGAAACCCAGGUUCGAUCCCUGGGUCGGGAA